CAAGUCGAACGGCAGCACGGGAGCUUGCUCCUGGUGGCGAGUGGCGAACGGGUGAGUAAAGCAUCGGAACGUACCUUGUCGAGGGGGAUAACUACGCGAAAGCGUAGCUAAUACCGCAUACGCCCUGAGGGGGAAAGCGGGGGACCUUCGGGCCUCGCGCGAUUGGAGCGGCUGAUGUCGGAUUAGCUAGUUGGUGGGGUAAAGGCCUACCAAGGCGACGAUCCGUAGCUGGUCUGAGAGGACGACCAGCCACACUGGGACUGAGACACGGCCCAGACUCCUACGGGAGGCAGCAGUGGGGAAUUUUGGACAAUGGGCGCAAGCCUGAUCCAGCCAUGCCGCGUGCAGGAUGAAGGCCUUCGGGUUGUAAACUGCUUUUGUACGGAACGAAAAGACUCCUUUUAAUAAAGGGGGUUCAUGACGGUACCGUAAGAAUAAGCACCGGCUAACUACGUGCCAGCAGCCGCGGUAAUA
rnacentral:rRNA from 1 species